ensembl:lncRNA
GGACUGGGAGGAUUGCCCCUCUAUCUGAUCUCUCUGAUCUCUCGUCAUCCCCAAAGAAUGACAAGGGACGUCGAGAUCAGGGUGUUCCAGACACUCGGGGCAGCAUGGAAGGAACUCAAGGUGAAGCUGGGAAAAGGAAACACAAAUAUGCAAAGGAGACUUUCAUUACAUCAACAGAAUGGUGUUGGAUGCUUGAGAUCCCAAGGGCUGCCAGAGCUCCCAGUACCAGAAAGCAAAACUCUUUUCCUCUUUUCCAAGGUGUGUCUCCUGCACCUUCUAUUCAAAAAAUUUCAAUGCCAACUGGCACAAGAAAAUAACUAUUUAAAAGGCCCAUGUCCCUUUUCAAAAAGCAGUCUAACGGGGGGAAUUGGGGGCUGAGAACUGUAUUAGGGGGAAAAAAACUUUUUCAUUGUGUGUGUCUUUACUACUCACACAGAACACUUUACUUCUGACAUUUCUGGCCACCAAAUCUGUGGCAGUAUCCCCCCACCAACUGCACUAGCUGAGUGUCCUAGAGUUGAAAACAAUUGUGACACUAGCUCUCUGGAGAUAGCAUCAGAUUGCACAGGUUACUAGGACUCAGUCCCUUAAGACUGCUCCCAUUUCAGAUACCAGUGGAAGUUAGUAGGUCCCCAUCGUUACACACAUACAUAAACAGAAGACAUAGUUCAGUAGAUUGUUGGAAACUAAAAGUCAAAUAAAUAUGCUACAUUUGUAAAUACA